UGGGGAAUAUUGGACAAUGGGCGAAAGCCUGAUCCAGCCAUGCCGCGUGUGUGAAGAAGGUCUUCGGAUUGUAAAGCACUUUAAGUUGGGAGGAAGGGCAGUAAGCGAAUACCUUGCUGUUGUGACGUUACCGACAGAAUAAGCACCGGCUAACUCUGUGCCAGCAGCCGCGGUAAUACAGAGGGUGCAAGCGUUAAUCGGAAUUACUGGGCGUAAAGCGCGCGUAGGUGGUUCGUUAAGUUGAAUGUGAAAGCCCCGGGCUCAACCUGGGAACUGCAUCCAAAACUGGCGAGCUAGAGUAGGGCAGAGGGUGGUGGAAUUUCCUGUGUAGCGGUGAAAUGCGUAGAGAUCUGGAGGAAUACCGAUGGCGAAGGCAGCCAUCUGGCCUAACACUGACGCUGAGGUACGAAAGCAUGGGGAGCAAACAGG
rnacentral:rRNA from 1 species